UGUCUCCUGCGGUGUUCGUGGUCCGUCAGGAACCCCUUGAGCCUAAUUGCCAUGCAAAGGGAGCCUCACCCGCAUAGGGAGCGCAGGUCCGCCUUGCAGCGGAAAGCCCGAUUAUGUGGCGCGGCGCCCACUUGAGACGCUGUCUCAAGGUCGAAGACAGAUGACGGCACACGCGGGAGACAC
rnacentral:other from 1 species